AGGGAUUUAGUUCAACGGUAGAAUAAAGGUCUCCAAAACCUCUGAUGUGGGUUCAACUCCUAUAAUCCCUGCCA
rnacentral:tRNA from 1 species